UACGUAGGGUGCAAGCGUUAUCCGGAAUUAUUGGGCGUAAAGAGCUCGUAGGCGGUUUGUCGCGUCUGCUGUGAAAACCCGAGGCUCAACCUCGGGCCUGCAGUGGGUACGGGCAAACUAGAGUGCGGUAGGGGAGAUUGGAAUUCCUGGUGUAGCGGUGGAAUGCGCAGAUAUCAGGAGGAACACCGAUGGCGAAGGCAGAUCUCUGGGCCGAAAUUGACGCUGAGGAGCGAAAGCGUGGGGAGCAAACAGG
rnacentral:rRNA from 1 species